GAUGAAGAACGUAGCAAAAUGCGAUAAGUAAUGUGAAUUGCAGAAUUCAGUGAAUCAUCGAAUCUUUGAACGCACAUUGCGCCCGCCAGUAUUCUGGCGGGCAUGCCUGUUCGAGCGUCAUUUCAACCCUCAAGCACGGCUUGUGUGUUGGGCUCCGUCCCCCCGGGGACGGGCCCGAAAGGCAGCGGCGGCACCGAGUCCGGUCCUCGAGCGUAUGGGGCUUUGUCACCCGCUCUGUAGGCCCGGCCGGCGCCAGCCGACAACCCAUCAUCCUUUUCAGGUUGACCUCGGAUCAGGUAGGGAUACCCGCUGAACUUAAGCAUAUCAAUAAGCGGAGGA
rnacentral:misc_RNA from 1 species